CCACCAGCGCCGCCGGGGCCUCCGGGAGCCCCGGACAGCGCCUCGCGGGGCCUCGCCGUGCGGCCUGCGGGAGGGCCCGGAGCCGCCGUCCUGGGACCGCCCGGGCUGCGGGGAAGCCGGGCCGCUGUGCUCCUCUCCGUGCCCCGCGGCGGCGCUGCUGGCGAGCGGCAGGUGGCUCGGCCGGUCCGGAGGCCACGCGUGCACGCGGCUGGGCGCGCGGUCCGGCUCGCCUCGCAGGGUCACCGACCUCUCCGGCGCGCGAGGACCCCCCCAGCUCCCCCCAAAAGAUUACUUUGUAUUUUCAGGACAGUUUCCGUAUUUCGUCUGAUUCUAACCCGGUACUGUAGGCUCGGACUGAUGCCUUCCGAGGCUGCAUCGUUUUUGUGUGUUCGCUUUUCUUGUACAAGAGCCGGCAGAUGCGCUCGCUGGUCUUUCUCUCCAAGUUUUAACCACGAGGAAAGACGAAUCACUGGUGGCAGUUGUAGGACACAGCGUCCCCUCCGCCCCACCACUGUACCCCAGCGCCGUUCGUCACUACCCGUUUUUCUGUGCAUCGUAGACAUCAGCAGGUCACUGCAACGGGGUCCGUUCGAAUUUCGCUGCAUCGACCCGUAUGUGUACGGCAGAGUGGACGUACGGGUAAGCGUGUUGGCUCCUUAAGUGUCUUCCUCUUCCAACAGGACAGAUGAACUUCCCUUCUUCAUUCUUCAGUACGUAUGGCAUGCUUCUCUAUUCACACACAGUACUUUAUUCCCCUAUUACCCCCACCCCCGUUUAUGGACACUUAUUACCAAUUUUUAUGCUAUUACCAAAAAAAAAAAAAAAAAGAGCCACAAUAAACCUCUUUAUUCAUGCUUUCUAUUAUGGGCUGAGUUGUAUCCUCCCCAGAUUUCCUAUGUUGAAGUGCUGAUCACCGCCCCCCAGAAUGGGUCUGUGUUUGGACACAGAGUCUCUGAAGAAGUAACUAAGUUAACAUGAGGUUGGAAGAUGCUCUUCUACGAGAAGAGAUUAGGUCACAGUCCUAUGGGGGAGAGACUUGGGAAGACACAGGGAAAAGGCGGCCGUGCACAGUGAAGGAGAAAGACACCAGAGACACCAACCCUGCCAGCACCUCAGUUGGGGACGUGCAGCCUCCAGAACAGUAAGGAAGUGUGUCCUGUCGUUGAAGCCACCUGCUCUGUCACACUCUUGCGGCUGCCCUAGCAAACGAGGAGAUCCCCACUUCCUAGGAUUAGACUCCUAAGCUGCCUGUAACAGAAAACCGCGCUCCUUUUAAAGCGGUUUCGACCAGAGAGAGGGCUUUGUUGUCCGUGUUUCAUUUCUCUUUCUCAGAAGUGGUUGGAAACAGAAUCCUGGAGGGCUGGUCCUGGAGCUCCUCAGUCCCCUGGCACCCAGCCUCCUCCUUAGCCUGCUCCAUUCUACAGGCCCGAGGUGUCUCUCCUCAAGUUCACUGCGGGCUCCGCAGUGGUGACUGGAGCCCCUGCGUCGAGAAGGUGGAAGGAGGGGAGGUGUCACGGAGCCCACUUUUCUACCGAGUUCGCUUCCUUUAAGCAGCCUGCUCAGUUCUGCCUGUGUCUGGCCAGAGCCGAGCCCUGCAGAGAGAGCGGAGGCCGGGAGACUGUCUUCUAGUUGUAUACAUUGUCACCCCAGAUAAAACCGGGAUUGUGUUAUCACGGGAAGAGAGGAGGUGGCUGUGGACCUGUCUGUGCCUCCCUUUCACCCUGAGGACAAUUGUGUGUGAAUUCUGUCCCGCUGCAGAGCCGGGUGACCUUGCCUGUCCCCACACAUGCAUCUCUAUGUAUACAGACCAUGACAUGUUUUUACUGACAUGGAGCAGAGACUCUAAGAAAAAGAGUUUUUUUUUUUUUUUUUUUCCCCUAUUCUUUCUUUUCUUUUCUUUUCUGAAAUCAUAGGGGAAAUGUCAUAAGCUUUCUCCCCAGGGCACACGGCUCCACCCAGUGGCUCGAAGCCCUGGCCCGGUUCAGUCACGGCUAAAACACAUGAGCAGCUGUGGUCGGUCAUGUGCUCUGCUGGGAGGGGUCCCGCUGCUCAUUUAUUUUGCCAGCUGCCAAGCGAAGGUGCAAAAGUGUGGAGAGUCCUGGGCCACAGAAUCUGGUUAUACCGGGGGGGGGGGAGGGUCAUUUAGUGUUUCACAGAAAUUCUUGGGAUCAUAUAAAAAAAAAAAUUCCACGGUACUGACUUUCAUCGAAGGAACAAAUCAAUUCAGUUUAUAAUCCUCUGAUGUGAAAACAUCUGGAUUGAUUUUUCACUGUCACCAUUUUGGUGUUUGGAAGUUGACUCAGUUCAACUUUCGGUGAGAAUUGAUCUAUCGAGGGCCUGCGGUCCAGCAGGUGAGGCACUGAUGGAAGGGUUAAUGUAACAGGGUCCCCACUUGAAAGAGCUCGCGAUGCAGCGGAGGAGAUACAGGAUACACAGUCAGUGUCGUACGGGUUCCAGGAGGUCAGGACCUGAAGGGAGGAGCUGAUGCACCCACUGGGGUAAUCGCUGAGCCGGUCACAUGGUGAAACUGGGCAAGAGCCACUGGAAAGGACGCUGGAGGCAGGGGCGCUCAGAUGGGACGAGAGAGACGUGACCAGGCCCGAGGCAGUGCUGGAGGACAGGAGAGGAGGGGGGCCCAAGUGAGAGGGACGGCAUGGUCACGGGCUGAAGGAAGCCACGAACUUCUCACUGCUUGGGGUUUAAUACUAACCCCACCUCCAAGGUUCAGUGACUGCAGAUGGUAAAAUGGAAUCUCACAUCCAGCCUUCUGGACAAUCUGGGUUUAUCCUGGCUUGUGGCAGUCAGCAACAGAGCAGGGAGGCCUGGCCUGGAGGCCGCGAAAAGACUUGCCUGCGAUGUCGGGAACCAGGCAGUUGUGAUGUUCAGGAUGCUGACAAGCGGGAAAGACAUACGUAUCCAUCGAUCAGAACGGACGCCUAUGACCUAAAGGAUACAGCGUGGUUUGGGAGGCUCUGGUGCACCAAACAUGAACCAUUUAAAGUCUGAAACUUUAAAUUCAAUGGGAGGAGGGUCCAGGGGGUGGAGCUAAAGUGGACAUGGGGAGACCAUGGCCCUUUACCAUCUUUGCUUGGCUACUUCUGAAUCCAGUGCAAGGAAAGGCAAAAUAGGGUCUCCCGAGGUUUAGCUGCCCCUCAGUUUACUCACAUGCAGCAAUUCCAGAUUUCCAGAAGAGACGUGACUGCCCCAGAGUCCAUCCCUGACCACCUGAUUAUUUGUGAACAGAAGAGUAGGACUCGUCUAAUGAGACAACAGUUAAAACCCGUGUUUGCCAAACACGGUGACAGUAAGUUAAAAGGCAAAAAGUACAUUAAGGUCCGACAGGGUAGAGACAAACUAGCUUACAACUCAGCAAGAAAAAGACAAACUCCCCGGCCAAAGAAGGGGAAAGGCCAUGCACACUCUCUUUAUUUGUGCAACAUCAGUCCAUGGCCAACUUCUACAUGAACAAAAACUGCAGAACCUCACUAGGUAGCGAAGAAAUGCAGAUUCAAACAAGAUAUAUAAGUUUACCCGUCAUCUGGGCUUGAAUAUAAAUUCAAGUCCUGUGCCCUGUUGACAAUGCUCAGGAAAUAAGCAGACCCGUUCGCUUCCAGGGGUACAGUCUUUCUACAUGAAAAUGAGGUGAAAAGUAUCAAAAUCCUAAAAAAAAAAAAAAAAAAAAAGUCCAUGAUGUGGAGAAUCUGAAAGAUCGCCCUGGAAUUAGCAAUUCUGCUUCCAAGAACGGACUCCAAGAAGGCAGAGGAUGAAAACAAGAGUACCGCAGACAAAAUCGAGCACUUACCAUGUGGCACAAAGUCCCCUGAGUCCUCUAGAUGUUUGGUUUCAUUCGCCCCUUGUCAUAAUCCUAUGUCCCGCUUUCCACAAAGCAGGAGGACCUGACAUGCUCGGCGACUUCAGGCUGUGAAAAACCUACACGUACAGACGGCCAACUGGAGCCCAUUGAUGCGAUGGGAAACAUCACAGUCGUUACCUAGGACUCACAUGUGUUCAUCUGUUCAUACUAAAACUGUUUGUUUGAAUUGUUAAAGAAAAUUAUAGAAUGGUAUUAAACUCAUACAGCUAUGCAUAUGUCUGCAUAGGAAAAUAGCCCA